rnacentral:rRNA from 1 species
CCAGACUCCUACGGGAGGCAGCAGUGGGGAAUAUUGGACAAUGGGGGGAACCCUGAUCCAGCGACGCCGCGUGAGUGAAGAAGUAUUUCGGUAUGUAAAGCUCUAUCAGCAGGGAAGAAAGAAAUGACGGUACCUGACUAAGAAGCCCCGGCUAACUACGUGCCAGCAGCCGCGGUAAUACGUAGGGGGCAAGCGUUAUCCGGAUUUACUGGGUGUAAAGGGAGCGUAGGCGGCAAGGCAAGUCUGAUGUGAAAACCCAGGGCCCAACCCUGGGACUGCAUUGGAAACUGUAUUGCUUGAGUACCGGAGAGGCAGGCGGAAUUCCUAGUGUAGCGGUGAAAUGCGUAGAUAUUAGGAGGAACACCAGUGGCGAAGGCGGCCUGCUGGACGGUAACUGACGCUGAGGCUCGAAAGCGUGGGGAGCAAACAGGAUUAGAUACCCUCGUACGA